rnacentral:lncRNA from 1 species
CGAGCAGACUCUCAGGGUUACCACUGUUGCUGGGAAACCCAGGAGAGCUGGGGAAGGUUUGUGGGUUCCAGCCCACAUUGCUCUAUUUCCUUUCCCGUUUGCUGUUCAACAGAGCCAGAAGACUCAUCUUCCAGGAUUCGGAGGCGUCACACCCGAUUACAUUGUGUGCGAUGUCUCAGCUACUACAUCGGCAAGCUAAGGAAGCUCACGAAGUAGAAAAGCAUAUGGGAGCCACUCAUCAGAUUAAAUGGAAGACACUGGAAUUCUCUGGGACAUUCACAAAGAUGUUUCAAAGGAAUGAUCCAAGAGAAAAAUUACAGCACUAUCUUCCACUACGAACGAGACGGUAUUUGUUUCUUUACCAGCUUAUCACAGAACUCAGGGAAGGGGAAGAAGGAGACAAGUUUCCUCUCUUCUCACCACUAACCAUGGAGCAGAAAGCAUGUGUACGAGUGUUAUGAGAUGCACUUCCAGGAA